rnacentral:lncRNA from 1 species
AUGGCUACUCGCGUCAACACUCUCCAUUACACCUUUGCCAUUCUAUGCAUUGUUGUAGUGUUGGCAUCAGGUGUGACUAGUUCUUCAAUCUCUCCAAUUGAUUAUUUAGCUCCUCCUGAUAUAUGUGGAGAUUAUUGUUGUUGGAAGGCAGCAGGGUCAGGGUUGGAGUGUGAUUUCCGAGCGUGUUUAUACAAAUGUGCAACAUAUCCAGGUAGCCUACACGGAGAGUGUAAAAAGAAUUUUUGUUGCUGCCAUAAAUAG